CAGCAGCCGCGGUAAUACGAAGGGGGCUAGCGUUGCUCGGAAUGACUGGGCGUAAAGGGCGCGUAGGCGGCUUGCACAGUCAGAUGUGAAAUUCCUGGGCUUAACCUGGGGGCUGCAUUUGAUACGUGUGGGCUAGAAUGUGAAAGAGGGUCGUGGAAUUCCCAGUGUAGAGGUGAAAUUCGUAGAUAUUGGGAAGAACACCGGUGGCGAAGGCGGCGACCUGGUUCAUGAUUGACGCUGAGGCGCGAAAGCGUGGGGAGCAAACAGGAUUAGAUACCCGCGUAGUCCCUGUCUCUUAUAC
rnacentral:rRNA from 1 species